AGAAUCAGCUAGUCCACAGACGCGAGUUAUACCUUUUACUGUCUGGAGUUUACUCUAUCAACGCGUGGCAGCCUUUAUGGUGGAAGCAUUCGCCUUUGAUGUGCAAAAGGUUGAGAAGCAGGCUUGGUUUGGAAACUUCUCUACAAUGUCCAAUGGGUGGCUCAAGAAGGGAGACAUUUGGAUGUCCUCAGUCUCCUGACUUCUGGUCACUUCAACACAAUGUGUCAUUGGUGCGUACAGUGAGGUUGUCCACCUCUGGGUCUUCAUCUGUUGCAAAAGAUUUCCUCAUUUGGCUGGUUUGGAAGGACCGAGUGUCAGCAUUACAGGAAAGGCACAGAUGGCUGAAAGCUGGUUAAUGACACAAGUGUCUAUAUGCAUUAAUCAGUGUCAUAGUUGAAUAGGGCAUAUACAUACUCAAUCCAACACACACACACACACACACACACACACACACACACACACACACACACGUGUGAGCACAACAGAUAAACAGGAUAUCUGACAAGGAAGAGCAGAAGGGGUUUUACUUAAUUUCUUUACCAGAGGCAGAUGAAAUACAACACAAGUACCAGAGUUUAGUUAAACAUGAACGUUUCUGAGUGUCCAUGGAAAAGUGCAAAACCAAACUAACUGGCUAUGUAGGUCUAUGUAGGACACGUGCUGAAUAAAUUCUUGAAACUGCAAAUAAUAAGUAAGGGAUAAUGUAGAGCAAAGCGGUUGUUAUAGCGAAUACAACCCCGACAGGCUGAUCAGGAGGAAGCGGAGGGGUCUUGAAUCAGCCUGAAGGGGUUGUAUUCACUAUAACAACUGCCUCGCUCUACAUUAUCCCGCUUAUUACAUGGUUACCUACCAAAUAAAUAAAUAAUUUGACACAAAAUAUUGAUUUAAAAAGGAGUUUAUUGAUUUAAAAACAAUUGUAUAGCUUCUGCUAAAGAAAAUAGUCUGUUCCGUCUCUACGGUUAGAAUCCUGCGUGUCCAUGGCAACGUUCUGCUUUGCAUGGCAACGGUGUGUUAUCCUUAGAGUAAAUUUUAUAUAGGUUUAUUACAAGCCAUGUAAUAAACCUAUAUAAAAUGUACUCUAUAUUACA